CCCUCAGGGUCAACGCAGCAUCCCCCCAGCCCCCAGCCACCCAGGUGCUCUUCAAGGCGACUUCUUCUCCAAGGUAGAAGUGCUUGUGAGUCUAGGAGGAAAUGGGCACGACGUUUGAGCAAAUGUAAACGCGUGGGCAGUAGUGGAGAAGUAGGAGACAGUCAAGGCCGUACGACUCCAGGCUGAGGCCAGGCUGAGGCCGAGCUGGAGCUGGGAGCCCGGAGCCCUUGGGGCCGUGGAAGAACACGGUGAUCUCAGGGAGCGCCGCGUCUCCACUGGAGAGGAGAGAGCGGGGUCUCCAGGACGCAGGUAAACAGCCAAACCUGUUCCCAGGUAGCGACCGCAUAGGCCUUAAACCCUAGAAAGUCAGUUUUGCAGACGGGAAUAUUUUUAAUUUGUAACGAAGUCCUUCCCUGACGUUCCAGCCCUCGAUGCAAAGUUAUUCGUUAAGAGCCUGCCUACACAGUGGAUCGCAUCCGUGUCCAGGAGGGAGUUCAGGAACCGAGACCCAGGAGGUGGAGGAGAUGGAGGAGGUGGGUGAGUGCGCCCGAGCCUCCAGGCUGGGCCCAGCCGCACCCAGAAGGCCGCACCCACCGCCUCGUGCUCCUCGCCGCCCCCCUCCUCCCUCCCGCGGGGCAGGCAUCCAUCGCGGCGCCCGGGCGCCCUCCCUCCGGUCUCCUCCGGGCUCCUCCAUUCUCCUCCCGGGGUUUGCCUCAUUUGCAUUCCUCCGGCUCCCGGCUCCUCGGCAAAGUGACCUCCGCACACAGCCGCGCCAAAGGCUUCCACCGCGGAGGGAGACACCGCCUCCCGCCGCGCUCCGCGGCCGGGGAGGAGCGAGGGGCGCGAGCCGGCACGGCGGGGCGGCGGCCCGGGCCCCAGCGGAUGGAUGCAGAGGGAAAGGCCCGGUGCCGAGGGACGCAGAGGGACUCGGAUGGGAUUUGAACCCGCGGCCUCAGAUCCUCAGCGGGGCGGGAGUGGGACGUGGAGGAAAUUUUUAAUUAAAAUAAUCAAGACUCGGGGCUUCUCUGGACAAAUUGGAAGACCCCCUAACACCGGGCAUCCCUGACCACAGGGCAACAGUUAGCUGGGGCUGAGAAACAGCUGCUCCCUUCAAGGGUUCUAAUAUUCUAUAUCACUAAUACAGAAACUGAGGCUCACAGAAGCUAACUUCUCCAAGGCCACCCAGCCAAGGUUUGAGUCCAGACCGUCUGGCUCCCGAACCCACACACUUGACCACUCCACCGUACAGUCCCCAGCUGAGAGGAGACGCUGGAAUUUAGAGCCACAUUUUACAGCUGAAGAGACGAAGCCUAGGAAGAAAGAGUGAUUUCUGCCUUCUAUGCAGGACCUGAGGACACAGUGGGCUGGGAUCAGUGGAGGAGAGGCCACUGCCAUCACCCCCUAAGACCCUCUGACCUCCAGGUCCUCCCUGCUGCCGAAGUGGUCUUCCUAAAAUGCAGACUGCAUCGCAUCUUGCGGCUGGCCUUCACCUUCAAGAUAAAUCUGAACUACAGGCCUUUCUCCUCCCCACCUCCCAGAGCUUCCAGAACACGGCUCCAUGCUAUUGCACGCCUGCGCCGAAAAUGUCCCUUCCCAUCUCUUCAUCUGGAAAACUCGGCUUUCAAAACCCAGCUGGCAUUGUCACUUCCUCUAUGAGUCCACUCUGCCCCAGAGUUGGGUUCUCAGGUCCAGGCACCCCUGGCCUCUGGCCACACCUCACCGGUAGCACUUGUAUCAUUUGCGAUGGUUGGUUUUUGACUGUCUCUCCCACUAGUCCAAGGGUUCCUGAGAAGCAGGGAUUGUCAUUCGGCUGUGUUUCCCUCACACCUAGCUAGUGCCUAGCACAAAACUUAAAAAAAAAAAAAAUUCGUGUGUGUGUGUGUGUGUUUAUAUGUAUUUUUAAUACUAAAGCUUGAACAAAUAAAAGGGGUGCAUGACAGUCAGUCAGACUCAGGGACAGGGAGCUUCACAAACAAGGACAGAGACGCUCUGCCUUGCUGAUUAUGCGCCUCCCUCCAUAAUUCUGGGGGCCUGCUGUUUCCUGCCUCCUGGCCUUUGCACAUG